rnacentral:rRNA from 1 species
GCGAACCGCUGGGCGGCGACCGCGGGAAUGGGGAUGGGAGGGGCGUGGGGCUGAAUUAGUGGGCGUACAUGAGUCGUGGGCGGUGUGUGGCGUCGGGAGUGAAAUCUUACAGCGUAACAGUGAGCGUGCUUCCGAUACGGGCAGAGUUGAGGUAUUCAGGGGAGAACGGAAUUCCUGGUGUAGCGGUGAAAUGCGCAGAUAUCAGGGGGAACACCGGUGGCGAAGGCGGUUCUCUGGGAAUAUCCUGACGCUGAGGAGCGAAAGUGUGGGGAGCGAACAGGAUUAGAUACCCGUGUAGUC